rnacentral:rRNA from 1 species
UACCCUUGUCUUUUGCGCACUUGUUGUUUCCUGGGCGGGUUCGCCCGCCACCAGGACCACACCAUAAACCUUUUUUUAUGCAGUUGCAAUCAGCGUCAGUACAACAAAUGUAAAUCAUUUACAACUUUCAACAACGGAUCUCUUGGUUCUGGCAUCGAUGAAGAACGCAGCGAAAUGCGAUACGUAGUGUGAAUUGCAGAAUUCAGUGAAUCAUCGAAUCUUUGAACGCACAUUGCGCCCUUUGGUAUUCCAAAGGGCAUGCCUGUUCGAGCGUCAUUUGUACCCUCAAGCUUUGCUUGGUGUUGGGCGUUUUUUGUCUUUGGUUGCCAAAGACUCGCCUUAAAACGAUUGGCAGCCGGCCUCCUGGUUUCGCAGCGCAGCACAUUUUUGCGCUUGCAAUCAGCAACAGAGGGCGGCACUCCAUCAAGACUCCAUUUUCACGUUUGACCUCGGAUCAGGUAGGGAUACCCGCUGAACUUAAGCAUAUCAAACCGGGAAGAAAC